GAUGAACGCUGGCGGCGUGCCUAAUACAUGCAAGUCGAGCGAACAGACGAGGAGCUUGCUCCUCUGACGUUAGCGGCGGACGGGUGAGUAACACGUGGAUAACCUACCUAUAAGACUGGGAUAACUUCGGGAAACCGGAGCUAAUACCGGAUAAUAUAUUGAACCGCAUGGUUCAAUAGUGAAAGACGGUUUUGCUGUCACUUAUAGAUGGAUCCGCGCCGCAUUAGCUAGUUGGUAAGGUAACGGCUUACCAAGGCGACGAUGCGUAGCCGACCUGAGAGGGUGAUCGGCCACACUGGAACUGAGACACGGUCCAGACUCCGACGAGAGGCAGCAGUAGGGAAUCUUCAGCAAUGGGCGAAAGACUGACGGAGCAACGCCGCGUGAGUGAUGAAGGUCUUCGGAUCGUAAAACUCUGUUAUUAGGGAAGAACAAAUGUGUAAGUAACUAUGCACGUCGUGACGGUACCUAAUCAGAAAGCCACGGCUAACUACGUG
rnacentral:rRNA from 1 species